UGCAGUCGAGCGGUAGAGGGAAGCUUGCUUCUCUUGAGAGCGGCGGACGGGUGAGUAAUGCCUAGGAAUCUGCCUGGUAGUGGGGGAUAACGUUCGGAAACGGACGCUAAUACCGCAUACGUCCUACGGGAGAAAGCAGGGGACCUUCGGGCCUUGCGCUAUCAGAUGAGCCUAGGUCGGAUUAGCUAGUUGGUGGGGUAAAGGCCUACCAAGGCGACGAUCUGUAGCGGGUCUGAGAGGAUGAUCCGCCACACUGGGACUGAGACACGGCCCAGACUCCUACGGGAGGCAGCAGUGGGGAAUAUUGGACAAUGGGCGAAAGCCUGAUCCAGCCAUGCCGCGUGUGUGAAGAAGGCCUUUUGGUUGUAAAGCACUUUAAGCGAGGAGGAGGCUACUUAGAUUAAUACUCUAGGAUAGUGGACGUUACUCGCAGAAUAAGCACCGGCUAACUCUGUGCCAGCAGCCGCGGUAAUACAGAGGGUGCGAGCGUUAAUCGGAUUUACUGGGCGUAAAGCGUGCGUAGGCGGCUUUUUAAGUCGGAUGUGAAAUCCCUGAGCUUAACUUAGGAAUUGCAUUCGAUACUGGAAAGCUAGAGUAUGGGAGAGGAUGGUAGAAUUCCAGGUGUAGCGGUGAAAUGCGUAGAGAUCUGGAGGAAUACCGAUGGCGAA
rnacentral:rRNA from 1 species